rnacentral:rRNA from 1 species
AUACAAACAGGGAUUCGUAAACAAAAAGGGGAAUUCGUAGUCACUUUUUCCUGUCACGUAAAAAAACUUUAUGCGAGAGCAAUAGAGGUUGUGAUACAUCUAUCUCUUCUCAGCAACCUCUUUUGGAUUCUUAAGACCACUCUUGUAGUAGGCUACCAUCUGCUUUGGGUUCUUUAUUAUCUACUUCAAGGGAUUUUUAGGAUCGUUCAGGCUAUAUAUAUUUAG